rnacentral:lncRNA from 1 species
UCAAGCCAAGGAAUCUGAACCUGGAUGUUCCCUGCCUCAACAAAGAAAAUUCACAAUCCAAACUCCAGCAAGUGAUAAAGCGAGGAAUGCUGAUUCAAACCCUGGCUAUAGUUCUAUGUUACCACCUUUCCUGCCGAGUCCAUGUUCAGCAAGCCACCCAGCAGAAGCCCCUUCUCAUAUGUCCAACUAUGAUCGACUUGGUCAUGCCAGUGAUUGUUUAAAUACAAGCUCUUAUAAUCAGGAGCGCAAGUUGGAGAAUCUCGGGAUUGUUUCUCCUUUACCUGAUCAAAAUACAAGCAACAGCUUGUUUAUGGGUGCUGCUGUAAAUAGCAUUGGCUAUGGAAGCA